rnacentral:rRNA from 1 species
UACGAAGGGUGCAAGCGUUACUCGGAAUUACUGGGCGUAAAGGGUGCGUAGGUGGUUUGUUAAGUCUGCUGUGAAAUCCCCGGGCUCAACCUGGGAAUGGCAGUGGAUACUGGCAAGCUAGAGUGCGGUAGAGGGUAGUGGAAUUCCCAGUGUAGCAGUGAAAUGCGUAGAGAUCGGGAGGAACACCAGUGGCGAAGGCGGCUACCUGGACCAGCACUGACACUGAAGCACGAAAGCGUGGGGAGCAAACAGGG